UUUUUUUUUUUUUUUUUUAACAGUGGGCCUUAUUGAUCCAGACCUCCGACCUGUUUCAUUGCCAUCAUCAUACUGCCUCGUGAUCUGGGCUCUUGGCUGGUUCUGGCUGCUGUCUCCAGAAAUCAACACAGGACCUCAGAAGAGUUGGUGAAGAGGUGAAUUUUGAAGAAAAGGCAAUCUCUGAUGUAAAUGGGCAUUGGGACCAUGACCAGGUCUUCACUGAGCAGUAGGCCUUGAGAAUAAGAUAUGAAAGGAGGAUUGUGGAUCCUGAGCUGUAAAAUACAGUCAAAUCAGGAAUUUACUAACAGAGGAGUAAUGAAACCUGCUUUUCAUGUGUCUCAAGGCUGGUCUUUCCAGUGGAUUCCCUCAUGCGUCAUAAGGAUGAGCUGUUAGGAAGUGAAAAAGCUGGUGCUAUCUUGAAGAAAAGACAGCGGCAACCUGGAAAAGAAGGGAGUCUCAACAGUAAUAACAGGAGCUGUUUGGGUUCUGCAGAUUGCAAAGAAAAACAUCAGCGCACAGCUUUUCGUAACUACACAGAGCAUGUAACUUCCACGUGGAAUGGGAGAAGUACAGUGCCUGAAAUGUCUUGUGAAAAAAGAUGCUGCCGUUCCUUCCCCAGCCCUUUCAGACUCUGCUCGCUUUCCAGGCGGGCAGCCCACCUACGCACCACCGCGGCUUCC